AUGGUGAGGUCCAACUCCAUCGACAGCUGCUACUCCUCCAUCCAGGACGUCACCUACAGCUGCGGGUACUGCGGCUACGCGCUGAACCUGAGCUCGGCGGCGCGGAACACGGCCAACAUCGGCUCCAAGUACGGCAAGCAGAUCAGGAAGAAGGGCAUCGUGGCCUUCGUCGCCGUCGACGAGACGCGCUUCACGCAGGCCGACGAGGUCACCUGCGCGCCCCGCCUCCGCCCCUGGACCUGGCGCCUCUUCCGGCGGAGGUCGCGCCUGCUCUGCGGCAAGUGCGGCGGCCGCAUCGGCGCCGCCUACGAGGUCGACGAGGAGGACGAGGACCCCGCCGGCCUCUCCGCGUGCGGCGGCUCGGACGACGACGACGACGACCUGCGGACGAGCCCGGGCGAUGAUGUCGGCGCGUCCAGAAGGAGGAACUACCUGAUCAGGAUCGGCGCGCUGCAGCCCUCGACGGACGAUCCUCCUCCUGCCGAUCCCUUCUCUCUAUGA
rnacentral:rRNA from 1 species